rnacentral:misc_RNA from 1 species
UACGGAGGGCGCAAGCGUUAUCCGGAUUCAUUGGGUUUAAAGGGUGCGUAGGCGGUCGUUUAAGUCAGUGGUGAAAUCCUGCAGCUCAACUGUAGUAUGGCCAUUGAAACUGGACGGCUUGAGUGAAGAAGAGGUAAGCGGAAUUUAUAGUGUAGCGGUGAAAUGCGCAGAUACUAUAAGGAACUCCAAAAGCGAAGGCAGCUUACUGGUCUUUAACUGACGCUGAGGCACGAAAGCGUGGGGAGCAAACAGG